GUGUACAAACAGAAAGCAAAAGCCCGCGAUAGACCGCGGAGUGCACGCGUCUGCAGCAAUUCUGCAGGAGCGCAGUUGUGUAAGGAUUGUUGUUGGUCGUGUCGUCUGGUGUGGUAGAGAAAGUUCUUUCUCUAUGGUCGUGUAACAAAGGCCUCUCAUCUAGAAUACUGCAACAUGCCUGGCAUCUGCCCUCGGUGCAACACGACCGUAUACUUCAAUGAGGAGAAGAUCGCCAUCGGCAAGCACUGGCACAUCAAGUGCUUCUCCUGUGCCAAUGCUGACUGCCAUCGGCGCCUGGACAGCAGCAACCUGACCGAGCAUGAAGGAAACAUCUACUGCCGCUCCUGCUAUGGCAAGCUGUUUGGCCCGAAGGGUUACGGCUAUGGCGGCGGUGGUGCUGGGGUGCUCUCCAUGGACACUGGUGACAAGUACAGGAAUGGACCACCUACCAGCAACAUUCCAGCGACAGCUCAAGCGCAUGUGGCACCUCAGAAUGGCACUGUGAAGCCCGUGACCCAGAAUCGUUGGGGAGGCACUGACGUUUGCCCCCGGUGUGGCAAGGCAGUUUACAUGGCCGAGAAGAAAAUGGGAGGCGGAGCAGCCUGGCACAUAGCCUGCUUCAAUUGCCAUCAGUGUCGUAAGCGUCUUGAGUCAACCAUUCUCUGCGAGCGAGAGGGAGAGAUCUACUGCAAGACAUGCUAUGGAAAAUACUUUGGUCCCAAGGGAUAUGGCUAUGGUGUGGGCUCGGGCACCCUGCAGAUGUCCUGAACAUAUUUAGGCCAUUAGCUUAGUUGUAAAAAAUAUUUGUGCAUUUAGAGAAGAUAAACUGUUGCAACCUUCAUGGAUAAAUGGCAAUUGUGUUAGACCACACCUGCAUGAAAAA
rnacentral:misc_RNA from 1 species